AGUGGGAUAGCUGGAUCAAAUGGUUGUUACAUUCCAAGUUUUCUGAGGAAUCUCCAUACUGCUUUUCAUAAUUGUUGCACCAAUUUAUAGUCCCAUCAGCAAU
rnacentral:pre_miRNA from 1 species